GGACAUUAUCUGAUCUUAUAGAGAUUAUUAUUAUUAUUAUUUAUUGAUUUUGUUUUUAUUAAAGUAAAUAACUAAAGGUUGUUGUAAUUUGUUGGAUUUAAUUUUUAUUAAUUAUAGAUUAUUAGUAUUGUGUAAGAAUUAAUUUUUAUAAAAUAAGAAGUUUUUAUUUAUUGUACCUUGUGUUUCAGGGUUUAUUAAAUAAUAUUUAUAAAGUAUAAAUUUCUCGAAUUUAAAAGAGUUAAUGGUUAAUUGAUUAAUAAUUAUAGAUUUUACUGUUAAAUAAGUAUUUUUAAUAAGUGGUUUAGAAGUGAAAGAUUAUUCGAUUUUAAUGAUAUCUAGUUUCUUUAGAAAUAAAUUUAAUUUGAUUUUUGAUAUUAAUUUAUUAAUGAAUUUAUAAUAUUAAUAUUAAGAAUUUAAAAUGUAAGGGUUGAGCUUUAUAUUUUAUUUAUAAAAUUUUAUUUUUUUUAUGUUUUGCAAUAGAAUUAAAAAUUUUAAUUUUUUAGUAAGUUAUUUUUGGUUUUUAUAAUAUUAAUUAUUUUUAUGAAAAUAUUUAUGUUUUUUAUAUAGAUUCUUAUUUUAAUAAGUUUAAUAAGUAAAUUAUGAUAAAAUUAGUAAAAAUUUACUUUAUUUUAAAUGGUGAAGGUUGAAAGUCAAUGAUAAAGGAAUUCGGCAAAAUAAAUUUUUUACCUGUUUAUUAAAAACAUGUCCUUUAGGUUAUAAAUUUAAGGUCUAGCCUGCCCAAUGAAUUUGUUUUAAUGGCCGCGGUAUUUUGACCGUGCAAAGGUAGCAUAAUCAUUAGUUUUUUAAUUGAAAGCUGGAAUGAAAGGUUGGAUAAGAAAAUUACUGUCUCUGUAAUUGAUUAUUUUGAAUUUUAUUUUUAAGUGAAAAAGCUUAAAUUUUUAAUGAAGACGAGAAGACCCUGUAGAGUUUUAUAUAAAUAUUUAAUUAAUUUUUUAGAAUGAUUUUUUUAAUUUUUUUUUUAUUUUUGAUUGGGGUGAUUGAAAAAUUUAAUUAACUUUUUUUUGUUAAAUACAUUGAUUUAUGGUAAAAUUGAUCCUUAGUUUUGGAUUAUAAGAAUAAAUUACCUUAGGGAUAACAGCGUUAUUUUUCUUUAGAGUUCUUAUCGCUAGGAAAGUUUGCGACCUCGAUGUUGGAUUAAAGUUUUAUUUAGGUGAAGAAGCUUAAAUAGUAAGUCUGUUCGACUUUUAAAAUUUUACAUGAUCUGAGUUUAGACCGGCGUGAGCCAGGUUGGUUUCUAUCUCUUUAUUUGUUUAAUUAUUUAGUACGAAAGGACCAGUAAUUUUUCAUAUCAAUGAAUAUGUUUUAAGAAUAAAAUUAUUAUUUUGGCAGAUUAGUGCUUUGGAUUUAGAAUCUAAU
rnacentral:rRNA from 1 species